rnacentral:rRNA from 1 species
UACGGGAGGCAGCAGUGGGGAAUAUUGCACAAUGGAGGAAACUCUGAUGCAGCGACGCCGCGUGAAGGAUGAAGUAUUUCGGUAUGUAAACUUCUAUCAGCAGGGAAGAAAAUGACGGUACCUGACUAAGAAGCCCCGGCUAACUACGUGCCAGCAGCCGCGGUAAUACGUAGGGGGCAAGCGUUAUCCGGAUUUACUGGGUGUAAAGGGAGCGUAGACGGCACGGCAAGCCAGAUGUGAAAGCCCGGGGCUCAACCCCGGGACUGCAUUUGGAACUGCUGAGCUAGAGUGUCGGAGAGGCAAGUGGAAUUCCUAGUGUAGCGGUGAAAUGCGUAGAUAUUAGGAGGAACACCAGUGGCGAAGGCGGCUUGCUGGACGAUGACUGACGUUGAGGCUCGAAAGCGUGGGGAGCAAACAGGAUUAGAUACCCUGGUAGUCCACGCCGUAAACGAUGACUGCUAGGUGUCGGGUGGCAAAGCCAUUCGGUGCCGCAGCUAACGCAAUAAGCAGUCCACCUGGGGAGUACGUUCGCAAGAAUGAAACUCAAAGGAAUUGACGG